AAGACUAUAGACCUGCGGAGUACCUGCGGAAGGAUCAUUACCGAGUACCGGGGCCUUCGGGUUCCUACUCCCACCCUAUGUUGACUUUAAAUGUUGCUUUGGCGGACCGGUGGUCUCACCGCUGGCCUAGGCUGGAGAGCGUCCGCCAGAGGAUUUUAAACUCUGUUUAACGGUGAAUUCUGAGUCUUGAUAAAUUGAAUCAAAACUUUUAACAACGGAUCUCUAGAUCGGAAGAGCACA
rnacentral:misc_RNA from 1 species